rnacentral:rRNA from 1 species
CACGUAGGGGGCAAGCGUUGUCCGGAAUCAUUGGGCGUAAAGAGCGCGUAGGCGGCCCAGUAAGUCCGCUCUGAAAGUCAGAGGCUCAACCUCUGAAUGCGGGUGGAUACUGCUGGGCUAGAGUCCGGAAGAGGCGAGUGGAAUUCCUGGUGUAGCGGUGAAAUGCGCAGAUAUCGGGAGGAACACCUAUGGCGAAGGCAGCUCGCUGGGACGGCACUGACGCUGAGACGCGAAAGCGUGGGGAGCAAACAGG